rnacentral:rRNA from 1 species
UACGUAGGGGGCAAGCGUUGUCCGGAUUUAUUGGGCGUAAAGAGCGUGUAGGCGGCCAGGUAGGUCUGCUGUGAAAACUCGAGGCUUAACCUCGAGCUGUCGGCGGAAACCAUCUGGCUAGAGUCCGGAAGAGGAGAAUGGAAUUCCCGGUGUAGCGGUGAAAUGCGCAGAUAUCGGGAAGAACACCAGUGGCGAAGGCGGUUCUCUGGGACGGUACUGACGCUGAGAGACGAAAGCUAGGGGAGCGAAUGGG